CCCCUGGGCUCCUGGACACAACUUCCCCAGGACCAUCCUCCCAAUGGCUGCCCACACUUAGGACAGUGCUGUCCCAAAGCCAGAGACACCUUGAGGUCAGCUGGGCAAUGCCUGGACUUCCCGACCUGCAGGUCCCAGGUAAGGCCGCCCUGCGACCCUCCAGACGUCCAGAGCACCGCAUCCGUCUGUUCGUCUGUCCAUCUCACUGAAGCCCAGGUUUGGCUGCUCUUCUGCUCCUCUCCUCAAAGUGCAGACCAGCCCCGCUGUCCUGGACUUUGGGGAAUGUGUUUAUCUGGCCAAAAGGACACUGAUAAAUGCCACCAUCUACCAGCCUAUAUGUUACAGAGCACACAGUGGAUUCACAGCAGUAAGUGGAGGGGACGCAGUCUCAGGACCAAGGAUGCUGCCUGUAAGGGGAGCAGUGUAAACUCAGCUUCCUGGAAACUCAGACACACAUGCCCGGAUCAUCUCUCAUGUGCUCUGCUUAUGCACAAAACUCGACGCUCACACAUAGAACGCAAGUGCAUGUGAUCUGCAGGUACACUUCUGUGACUAUGGGUUUUACUGGAGUCUUUGCAAGCAUGAUGUGUCACUCCUCACCUGUGUGGUAAUGCCCCUGAGUCACCUGGAUGCCUUCCCUACUUGGAAGUGCUGAACUGGGUUCCCCAGAGUCAUAUGUUGGAAACUCUGGCCCCCAGGACUCAGAAUGUGACCGUGUUUGGAGACAGGGCCUUUACAGAGAGAAUUAAGGUAAAACAGGGCCAGUGGGCUCUGAUCUAAUCUGACUGGUGUCCUUGUAGGGAGAGGCAAUCAGGGUCUUCCCUGGUGGCUCAGUGGUAAAGAAUCUGCCUUCCAGUGCAGGAGACAACAGGUUCAAUCCCUGAUUUGGGAGGAUCCCACAUGCCAUGGCGGAAAAGGCAAUGGCAUCCCACUCCAGUACUCUUGCCUGGAAAAUCCCAUGGAUGGAGGAGCCUGGUAGGCUGCAGUCCAUGGGGUUGCUAAGAGUCGGACACGACUGAGCGACUUCACUUUCACUUUUCACUUUCAUGCAUUGGAGAAGGAAAUGGCAACCCACUCCAGUGUUCUUGCCUGGAGAAUCCCAGGAACGGGGGAGCCUGGUGGGCUGCCGUCUAUGGGGUCACACAGAGUCGGACAUGACUGAAGCGACUUAGCAGCAGCAGCAGCAGCAGCGCAUGCCAUGGAGCAACUAAGCCCGUGUGCCACAACUACUGAGCCUGUGCUCUAGAGCCUGGGAGCCACAACUACUAAAGCCCAUUCACUGUAGAGCCCGUGCUCCACAACAAGAGAAGCCCCCAGAGUGAGAAGUCUGUGCAUCGAAACUAGAGAGCAGCCCUGCUUGCCGCAACUAGAGAAAGCCCUCACAGCAACAAACACCCAGUACAGCCAUAAAUAAAUAAAUAAAAUUGUUUUAAGAAAUACUACA
rnacentral:tRNA from 1 species